rnacentral:rRNA from 1 species
GAUUCGUUCGCGGAAAAUAUAACGGGGCUAAAAUAUCCACCGAAGCUCUAGACUUGAUAAUAAUCAAGUGGUAGGAGAGCGUUCUAAUCAGCACUGAAGCCAUACCGGUAAGGAGUGGUGGAGCGAUUAGAAGUGAGCAUGCAGGCAUGAGUAACGAUAAAAGUAGUGAGAAUCUACUUCGCCGAAAACCCAAGGUUUCCUACGCGAUGUUCGUCAUCGUAGGGUUAGUCGGGACCUAAGUCGAGUCCGAAAGGGGUAGACGAUGGAAAAAAGGUUAAUAUUCCUUUACCAACAAUUGAUCGUGAUGUGGGGACGCAUAGAGUUAGACGAGGUCGCUGAUGGAAUAGCGGUCGAAGGAUGUAGGUUGUAUCUUAGGCAAAUCCGGGAUACAUUAAGACCGAAAUCUGACAGGCUAAAUAAUACUUUCGAGUAGCAUUUAGAAUCGUUGAUACUGUCGUGCCUAGAAAAGCCACUAAGCAUAUCAAUUGUUGCCCGUACCGUAAACCGACACAGGUGGGUGAGAUGAGUAUUCUAAGGCGCGUGGAAGAACUCUGGUUAAGGAACUCUGCAAACUAGCACCGUAAGUUCGCGAUAAGGUGUGCCUGAGUAAUCAGGUCUCAGCAAAGAGUCCCUCCCGACUGUUUACCAAAAACACAGCACUCUGCUAACUCGUAAGAGGAUGUAUAGGGUGUGACGCCUGCCCGGUGCUCGAAGGUUAACUGAUGGAGUUAGCGUAAGCGAAGCUCUUGAUUGAAGCCCGAGUAAACGGCGGCCGUAACUAUAACGGUCCUAAGGUAGCGAAAUUCCUUGUCGGUUAAAUACCGACCUGCAUGAAUGGCGUAACGAGAUGGGAGCUGUCUCAACCAGAGAUCCAGUGAAAUUGUAGUGGAGGUGAAAAUUCCUCCUACCCGCGGAAAGACGGAAAGACCCCGUGCACCUUUACUACAGCUUGGCACUGUAGCUUGGAUAUUCAUGUGCAGGAUAGGUGGGAGGCUAUGAAGGAUAGACGCAAGUAGAUCUGGAGCCACCCUUGAGAUACCACCCUUGAAUAUUCGGGUUACUAACUAGCUUAGGUUAUCCCUAAGUAGGACAAUGUCUGGUGGGUAGUUUGACUGGGGCGGUCGCCUCCUAAAAAGUAACGGAGGCUUACAAAGGUUAGUUCAGACUGGUUGGAAAUCAGUUGAUGAGUGUAAUGGCAUAAACUAGCUUGACUGUGAGAGAUACAACUCGAGCAGAGACGAAAGUCGGUCAUAGUGAUCCGGUGGUUCUGUGUGGAAGGGCCAUCGCUCAAAGGAUAAAAGGUACGCCGGGGAUAACAGGCUGAUCUCCCCCAAGAGCUCACAUCGACGGGGAGGUUUGGCACCUCGAUGUCGGCUCAUCGCAUCCUGGGGCUGGAGCAGGUCCCAAGGGUAUGGCUGUUCGCCAUUUAAACGGUACGCGAGCUGGGUUCAGAACGUCGUGAGACAGUUCGGUCCCUAUCUUCCGUGGGCGUAGGAAACUUGAAGAGAUUUGUCCCUAGUACGAGAGGACCGGGAUGAACAUGCCACUGGUGUACCAGUUGUUCUGCCAAGAGCACAGCUGGGUAGCUACGCAUGGAUGUGAUAAGAGCUGAAAGCAUCUAAGCUCGAAGCCAACUCUAAGAUGAAGUUUCCCUGAAGUUCCCAGCAAGACUAGCUGGUUGAUAGGC